AUCGUAGGCAAAAAUCUCAAGUGUAUUUAUAUUACAUAUACACUUAAUCAAAGCAUGUACAUUUACUUCUGACUGUUCUUAUACAUAAAAUUGAGAAAGAAAAUGGGAAAUAUGUCAGAGACAACAACACGACUAAAGAGCGACACAGCCUAAUGCCACCAAUGAGUCUCAACACAGUGAGAAGAUGUCGCACCCAGGGACGGGCUUCAUCUGGCCUCUUAACAAAAAUGUGUACUAGUUCAGUGAAAAUGGACGUCACAUUAAAUGGAUUAAAAUUUAAAACAUACAAGACUUACAAAAGCCAGAGGCUCUCGACUUGGGACCCCGAGGGUUAAACAUAUAAUAUGUGAGAUCUAAACCAUUCCCUAUACCUAGCCUCUAGCCAAAGUACAAUAAACAAAUACACAUCUUUACGCACGGC
rnacentral:lncRNA from 1 species